AACGAACGCUGGCGGCAGGCCUAACACAUGCAAGUCGAGCGAGGACUUCGGUCCUAGCGGCGGACGGGUGAGUAACGCGUGGGAACGUGCCCCUUUCUACGGAAUAGCCCCGGGAAACUGGGAGUAAUACCGUAUAAGCCCUACGGGGGAAAGAUUUAUCGGGAAGGGAUCGGCCCGCGUUGGAUUAGGUAGUUGGUGGGGUAAUGGCCUACCAAGCCGACGAUCCAUAGCUGGUUUGAGAGGAUGAUCAGCCACACUGGGACUGAGGCGCGGCCCAGACUCCUACGGGAGGCAGCAGUGGGGAAUCUUAGACAAUGGGCGCAAGCCUGAUCUAGCCAUGCCGCGUGAGCGAUGAAGGCCUUAGGGUUGUAAAGCUCUUUCAGUGGGGAAGGAUAAUGACUGUACCCACAGAAGAAGCCCGGCUAACUCCGUGCCAGCAGCCGCGGUAAAGUACAGUGU
rnacentral:rRNA from 1 species